UACCCUGUGAUUUCCUGGUUAGAAUACUUGGCUUUUUCCUUCUCCCAUCUGGAUGCACCAGGAGAGGGAAUGGGACUGGGGAAAUCAAAGGUUCUACUUUGGGAUGAGAAAGGGAGUGGCCUCUGGCCUUCGGCCCCCACUUCUUCCAGGCAAGGCUAAGUCAGGCCAGCUUUGCCUCUAGGAACAAUACGAGAGCCCAGAAAGUGCCCAGCAAGCCUCGGGCCGGCUGCAGGAGAAGCGGACAUGGGGCUGAGCUGGAGGUGGAGGAGUGUUCCAGAGACAACAGCAGACCCCUCCCCUCCUCAAGCCUCCUCAACCCUUUGUGGUUCCUCUGGCUACAGAAGGCAGUGGGGCAUAAUGGGGUGGGAGUGAAAAGAAGGACCGAGAAGCAAGAAAACGAACCUGGAGAAAAUCUCAGAGGAUAUGCACCCCCAAAUGCGGUAGGAGAUGGAGUGGGGGCUUCUUAAUUCUGGAGUACAGAGCCCAUUUGGAAUGCUUGGGAGGCAAUUAGAUCCCAGUUUGGUUUCUUUCUUGCCUUUUUUCUUCCUCUUUCGGAGGUCUCUGGCAAGCAAGCAAGCUGCGCCCUGAUUAGGGCUGGAAGGCUGGAAGAUGGAGGGUAUGACAGGCACCCCUGAGGGGCCCAGGUUUGACUGAGGUAUUGCUGCUGGCCAAGGGCUUUUCAAACUUCAGGGAACAAAGGCUGGUAGUGAGGAGUUUGGGCAGGGAACUUGGGGUGGGAGACACCAGAGCAGUCUGAGGGAAGACUUUGGGGUCUGGGAAAAGAGAAGUGGGAGAAGGGCUUAUCAUCACUGACAGUGAAGUCGUGAUUUAGGAGCGAACUGGAGAUACAGAAGAAGGAACAAUUUCUUCUUGGAUUCGGGAGGGAAACCUGGGAAACCGUGUGUGUGUACCCACAUGUGUGGGGGGUGUGUGUGUGCGUAAGAGAGAGAGAAAGGAGGAGAAAGAAAAAUUGAAAAAGAGGAAAAUUGAGUAAGAGACAGAGAUACUAACAUAAACUAAUAAAGUCAAAAAAUAGUAAUAAGGAUAGAGAUUAGAGAGAAUGUCCCUCUUCACAGACAUCCUUUCCUCUUCUAUUCCGUUUCUUCGGAGCCAGAGCACUUGCCCUGGCACCUCUCUUCCCCACCCCACUGGGUACCCAGUAUCAGGGGACCGGAGCACUUUAACCCUCCUUGAGCAACCAAGGGCUGCCCACCCGUCUAGAUUCCAUGGGAUCACGCCUAUUUCUCUCCUCCAAAAAUGCAUCAACUGGCAAACAAAAAUUCUCUCAAUAAGAGCAAACUGGCUGGCUCUUUUAAAACCGAUUUCUGAUCUUAAGACUUGGGGCAGUCAAAGAUCCUCUCUCUGGCUCAAUCAACACAAAAUUUGCCUGGUCCAGCGGCUGGCUGGGGAGCUGGGAUCUGGGAGCCUGAAGCGAGGUAUUUGGCGAUGUGCUUCUUCCUGGCCCUGUCUGGGUUCCCCGUCCCACACUGUUUUCCAGCUUCACUGCCCAACUUUGUAGCCCCGGCAGAGUGGCAUUAACUUCACACACUCACCCCAAUCUCCAUCUUCCCUUAAGUAUUAAUAAAGAUUUCAAAGCUGGGGGUUGUAAAGUGGGAAUUGCUAAUGAAGAAGGCUCUUGGCAUUCGGAUCCCCAUUCCCAGUUCUCCAAUAAACCAGAGAGGGAGGGAACAAAGAGGCACCAGGAAGGGAGACGAGAAGGCCCGCUUAGACCCUGCUCAGCAAUAGUGGGGAUCAAAAGAAGAAAAAGGUCGCUGCAGUGGAAGAAGAAAAAUCCAAGCUGUACUUUUUCCCCAUCCCAAGUGUGGGGGCACUGCCCUCUCCCCAGCAGAGCCCGUGAAGGGGUGGCAGGACAAAAAGGGCAGCCACAAGGGUCUGCAAAGUCCACUCGAUGACAUGGAGGCCGCCUUAACACGCUAAUGAGGGGAUGGCGGUGCUGCCAGCAAAGUGGAGAGCCUCAGGCAGGUGGGCUCUUUGGUGGCGAUAGACCCCUAUCUGAAUCAGGGCUCCUGCCUCAUCUAGCAGCUCAGCCUUAGCCUGGCAAACCCCACCCCCAGUAAGUGUUGAGACAAAGGUAGGUAGAGCAGAGAAGGCAGAGGAAGGGAGGCUGUGAAUCCUGGGCAGCUUAGGGGCUGCAGGGGGUGCUGGGAAAGGGAGGGAGAAACAGGAAAAGAGGAAUGGGCCCAGUCCCCGAGGCUGAGCAGGCCUCUCCUGACAGAUUGGAUGUUUCUCGCCCAGUGACCUCUGUUUAGCAGACAAUAACUCACUGGAUUAAUGACCAAUCAGCGAAAGGUCUUCCGAAUUGUCUCCAAAUAUAAAACUCCAAAGUCAGAACGGGACAGGGCCAGAGUCUGGGCCUGCCAGCCCUUUUGUUUUUUUCUCCUCAAAAUA